UACGUAGGGUGCGAGCGUUGUCCGGAAUUAUUGGGCGUAAAGAGCUCGUAGGCGGUGUGUCACGUCGGCCGUGAAAACCUGCAGCUUAACUGUGGGCGUGCGGGCGAUACGGGCAGACUGGAGUACUGCAGGGGAGACUGGAAUUCCCGGUGUAGUGGUGAAAUGCGUAGAUAUCGGGAGGAACACCAGUGGCGAAGGCGACUUCCUGGCCUGUUCUUGACGCUGAGGCGCGAAAGCUAGGGGAGCAAACGGG
rnacentral:rRNA from 1 species